AUCGCUUCACAGCCUUUUGGCCAAGAUCAAGUGUAGUAUCUGUUCUUAUCAGUUUAAUAUCUGAUAUGUCCCCUAUAAGAGGAUAACAUGUUAUAUCGUUUUUUUUAGAGGAUCUCAAGCUGUUCUCGAACCUGGCGUUCCCUCUGUCUUCAGCAGUUUUCCUCCUUUUCUCAUCACCUGUCCUUUAGGACACUACUCU